GCUCUCUUGCCUCGGCCUGAACCUCCUCAGGUGGUGGGACUAUCGAUGUUGUUUCGACAGUUUUUCUUGCCGCCCUUUCCUCGGACGAUAUAGCAGGGAGUACUGUCAGAGCCGACAGUGCUCGAACUGGUUCAGGAAUCGAUUCCAAACGGGCAUUGGGUUCCAUAGCCGAUGUUGAAACACCGAUUGGAGCUGGUGCUUGAUGCCUCUUCGGC
rnacentral:lncRNA from 1 species